rnacentral:rRNA from 1 species
UUAAGCGACUAAGCGUACACGGUGGAUGCCCUGGCAGUCAGAGGCGAUGAAGGACGUGCUAAUCUGCGAUAAGCGUCGGUAAGGUGAUAUGAACCGUUAUAACCGGCGAUUUCCGAAUGGGGAAACCCAGUGUGUUUCGACACACUAUCAUUAACUGAAUCCAUAGGUUAAUGAGGCGAACCGGGGGAACUGAAACAUCUAAGUACCCCGAGGAAAAGAAAUCAACCGAGAUUCCCCCAGUAGCGGCGAGCGAACGGGGAGGAGCCCAGAGCCUGAAUCAGUGUGUGUGUUAGUGGAAGCGUCUGGAAAGGCGCGCGAUACAGGGUGACAGCCCCGUACACAAAAAUGCACAUGCUGUGAGCUCGAUGAGUAGGGCGGGACACGUGGUAUCCUGUCUGAAUAUGGGGGGACCAUCCUCCAAGGCUAAAUACUCCUGACUGACCGAUAGUGAACCAGUACCGUGAGGGAAAGGCGAAAAGAACCCCGGCGAGGGGAGUGAAAAAGAACCUGAAACCGUGUACGUACAAGCAGUGGGAGCACGCUUCGGCGUGUGACUGCGUACCUUUUGUAUAAUGGGUCAGCGACUUAUAUUCUGUAGCAAGGUUAACCGAAUAGGGGAGCCGAAGGGAAACCGAGUCUUAACUGGGCGUUAAGUUGCAGGGUAUAGACCCGAAACCCGGUGAUCUAGCCAUGGGCAGGUUGAAGGUUGGGUAACACUAACUGGAGGACCGAACCGACUAAUGUUGAAAAAUUAGCGGAUGACUUGUGGCUGGGGGUGAAAGGCCAAUCAAACCGGGAGAUAGCUGGUUCUCCCCGAAAGCUAUUUAGGUAGCGCCUCGUGAAUUCAUCUCCGGGGGUAGAGCACUGUUUCGGCAAGGGGGUCAUCCCGACUUACCAACCCGAUGCAAACUGCGAAUACCGGAGAAUGUUAUCACGGGAGACACACGGCGGGUGCUAACGUCCGUCGUGAAGAGGGAAACAACCCAGACCGCCAGCUAAGGUCCCAAAGUCAUGGUUAAGUGGGAAACGAUGUGGGAAGGCCCAGACAGCCAGGAUGUUGGCUUAGAAGCAGCCAUCAUUUAAAGAAAGCGUAAUAGCUCACUGGUCGAGUCGGCCUGCGCGGAAGAUGUAACGGGGCUAAACCAUGCACCGAAGCUGCGGCAGCGACACUGUGUGUUGUUGGGUAGGGGAGCGUUCUGUAAGCCUGUGAAGGUGUACUGUGAGGUAUGCUGGAGGUAUCAGAAGUGCGAAUGCUGACAUAAGUAACGAUAAAGCGGGUGAAAAGCCCGCUCGCCGGAAGACCAAGGGUUCCUGUCCAACGUUAAUCGGGGCAGGGUGAGUCGACCCCUAAGGCGAGGCCGAAAGGCGUAGUUGAUGGGAAACAGGUUAAUAUUCCUGUACUUGGUGUUACUGCGAAGGGGGGACGGAGAAGGCUAUGUUGGCCGGGCGACGGUUGUCCCGGUUUAAGCGUGUAGGCUGGUUUUCCAGGCAAAUCCGGAAAAUCAAGGCUGAGGCGUGAUGACGAGGCACUACGGUGCUGAAGCAACAAAUGCCCUGCUUCCAGGAAAAGCCUCUAAGCAUCAGGUAACAUCAAAUCGUACCCCAAACCGACACAGGUGGUCAGGUAGAGAAUACCAAGGCGCUUGAGAGAACUCGGGUGAAGGAACUAGGCAAAAUGGUGCCGUAACUUCGGGAGAAGGCACGCUGAUAUGUAGGUGAAGCGACUUGCUCGUGGAGCUGAAAUCAGUCGAAGAUACCAGCUGGCUGCAACUGUUUAUUAAAAACACAGCACUGUGCAAACACGAAAGUGGACGUAUACGGUGUGACGCCUGCCCGGUGCCGGAAGGUUAAUUGAUGGGGUUAGCGCAAGCGAAGCUCUUGAUCGAAGCCCCGGUAAACGGCGGCCGUAACUAUAACGGUCCUAAGGUAGCGAAAUUCCUUGUCGGGUAAGUUCCGACCUGCACGAAUGGCGUAAUGAUGGCCAGGCUGUCUCCACCCGAGACUCAGUGAAAUUGAACUCGCUGUGAAGAUGCAGUGUACCCGCGGCAAGACGGAAAGACCCCGUGAACCUUUACUAUAGCUUGACACUGAACAUUGAGCCUUGAUGUGUAGGAUAGGUGGGAGGCUUUGAAGUGUGGACGCCAGUCUGCAUGGAGCCGACCUUGAAAUACCACCCUUUAAUGUUUGAUGUUCUAACGUGGACCCGUGAUCCGGGUUGCGGACAGUGUCUGGUGGGUAGUUUGACUGGGGCGGUCUCCUCCUAAAGAGUAACGGAGGAGCACGAAGGUUGGCUAAUCCUGGUCGGACAUCAGGAGGUUAGUGCAAUGGCAUAAGCCAGCUUGACUGCGAGCGUGACGGCGCGAGCAGGUGCGAAAGCAGGUCAUAGUGAUCCGGUGGUUCUGAAUGGAAGGGCCAUCGCUCAACGGAUAAAAGGUACUCCGGGGAUAACAGGCUGAUACCGCCCAAGAGUUCAUAUCGACGGCGGUGUUUGGCACCUCGAUGUCGGCUCAUCACAUCCUGGGGCUGAAGUAGGUCCCAAGGGUAUGGCUGUUCGCCAUUUAAAGUGGUACGCGAGCUGGGUUUAGAACGUCGUGAGACAGUUCGGUCCCUAUCUGCCGUGGGCGCUGGAGAACUGAGGGGGGCUGCUCCUAGUACGAGAGGACCGGAGUGGACGCAUCACUGGUGUUCGGGUUGUCAUGCCAAUGGCACUGCCCGGUAGCUAAAUGCGGAAGAGAUAAGUGCUGAAAGCAUCUAAGCACGAAACUUGCCCCGAGAUGAGUUCUCCCUGACCCUUUAAGGGUCCUGAAGGAACGUUGAAGACGACGACGUUGAUAGGCCGGGUGUGUAAGCGCAGCGAUGCGUUGAGCUAACCGGUACUAAUGAACCGUGAGGCUUAACCUU